GAUGAACGCUGGCGGUAGGCCUAACACAUGCAAGUCGAACGGCAGCACAGGAGAGCUUGCUCUCUGGGUGGCGAGUGGCGGACGGGUGAGGAAUACAUCGGAAUCUACUCUGUCGUGGGGGAUAACGUAGGGAAACUUACGCUAAUACCGCACACGACCUACGGGUGAAAGCAGGGGACCUUCGGGCCUUGCGCGAUUGAAUGAGCCGAUGUCGGAUUAGCUAGUUGGCGGGGUAAAGGCCCACCAAGGCGACGAUCCGUAGCUGGUCUGAGAGGAUGAUCAGCCACACUGGAACUGAGACACGGUCCAGACUCCUACGGGAGGCAGCAGUGGGGAAUAUUGGACAAUGGGCGCAAGCCUGAUCCAGCCAUACCGCGUGGGUGAAGAAGGCCUUCGGGUUGUAAAGCCCUUUUGUUGGGAAAGAAAUCCAGCUGGCUAAUACCCGGUUGGGAUGACGGUACCAAAGAAUAAGCACCGGCUAACUUCGUGCCAGCCGCCGCAGUAA
rnacentral:rRNA from 1 species